CUACGGGGUGCACCAGUGGGGAAUAUUGCACGAUGGAGGAAACUCUGAUGCAGCAACGCCGCGUGGAGGAUGACACUUUUCGGAGCGUAAACUCCUUUUAUAUAGGAAGAAGAUGACGGUACUAUAUGAAUAAGCGCCGGCUAACUCCGUGCCAGCAGCCGCGGUAAUACGGAGGGCGCAAGCGUUACUCGGAAUCAUUGGGCGUAAAGAGCGUGUAGGCGGAUUAAAAAGUCAGAAGUGAAAUCCUAUAGCUUAACUAUAGAACUGCUUCUGAAACUCUUAAUCUAGAAUAUGGGAGAGGUAGAUGGAAUUUCUGGUGUAGGGGUAAAAUCCGUAGAGAUCAGAAGGAAUACCGAUUGCGAAGGCGAUCUACUAGAACAUUAUUGACGCUGAGACGCGAAAGCGUGGGGAGCAAACAGGAUUAGAUACCCUGGUAGUC
rnacentral:rRNA from 1 species